rnacentral:rRNA from 1 species
CCCUUAGACGUUCUGGGCCGCACGCGCGCUACACUGACACAGGCAACGAGCUUUCCUUUACCGAAAGGUAUGGGUAAUCUUUUGAAACUGUGUCGUGCUGGGGAUAGAUCCUUGCAAUUUUUGAUCUUAAACGAGGAAUUCCUAGUAAGCGCGAGUCAUCAACUCGCGUUGAUUACGUCCCUGCCCUUUGUACACACCGCCCGUCGCUACUACCGAUUGAAUGGCUUAGUGAGGCCUCAGGAUCCGCGCUUAAUGUGUGGAGAAUUUGGACAAACUACGUCAUUUAGAGGAAGUAAAAGUCGCAACA